UACGGGGGGAGCAAGCGUUGUUCGGAUUUACUGGGCGUAAAGGGCGCGUAGGCGGCCAGCACAAGUCAGUUGUGAAAUCUCCGGGCUUAACUCGGAAAGGUCAAUUGAUACUGUGCGGCUAGAGUGCAGAAGGGGCAACUGGAAUUCCCAGUGUAGCGGUGAAAUGCGUAGAUAUUGGGAGGAACACCAGUGGCGAAGGCGGCUCACUGGACCGGUACUGACGCUGAUGCGCGAAAGCGCGGGGAGCAAACGGG
rnacentral:rRNA from 1 species